rnacentral:lncRNA from 12 species
UCAACAAACAUUUUUACUAUUGUCUAUGUUAAAAACAAAUGUGCUGCUUAAUAUUUUUGUGAAAACCAUAGUAGUUUUUUUUGUUUGUUUGUUUGUUUGUUUUUAGGAUUCCUUGAUCAAUUAAAAACAAAAAGACAUGAGCGUGAAACAUGAGCACAUGAAAUCAUUGGUGAAGUGUGGAGUGACAGGGCCCAGGGCUGCUCUUUCUUUCACCUUCUUGUCUCCAAAGUGCCAGGCGUUUCACGCAGGGUGAGAGACGUUACUGAGGUGUGUGUUAUUCUUGUUGUCGGCCUCCAGCCGGGAGCAGGAGUCAGCACAGCUAGUUACAUACACAGCGCCAUCAGCCUGUCAGUCAAGUCAGGUAAUCACACCCCCAUUGAUUCAAACACGUGCUCUCACAAGCGCACGCAAACAUACAGGAUGUACUAAUUUCACACCUAAGACACCUUUAAUGCAGGUGCAUUUUAGUCCAAUUUUUCCUGAACUCUAAUUCCACCCUCAUUUCACCCUUGGUGUUCACUCUAGAGCCUUUUCAUUCCCAAAUCAUUAUAUUACAGCAUAGUCUAUGUGGAGAUAAAAACCACUUGGGCAAUCAGUGACUGAGUACGCCAAAAGAUACCACACCCGUUCAUGCACACUCCUUAAAACAUAAAUAAUUGGCAUCAAUGUCUCUGUGUAUCUAGUUACUAAUACAUUUAGACUACUGAUGUGCUUAAAUCAAUAAGCAAAACAAAUAAUCACAUUUUUACUAAUAAUCCACUCAUUCUAUCCCUGAUUUAUGCAAAAUUUAAGUGAGCAUAUUCUAAACUGUAAAUGUAACUUACAGUUGUAGAAAUUUUCAACCAAACGGAAAAUGUUGGAUGCACAACUGUUCAAAAGUGUUUAUUAU